UACGGGGGGGGCAAGCGUUGUUCGGAAUUACUGGGCGUAAAGGGCUCGUAGGCGGCCAACUAAGUCAGACGUGAAAUCCCUCGGCUUAACCGGGGAACUGCGUCUGAUACUGGAUGGCUUGAAUCCGGGAGAGGGAUGCGGAAUUCCAGGUGUAGCGGUGAAAUGCGUAGAUAUUGGGAAGAACACCGAUGGCGAAGGCAGCCAUCUGGACCGACACUGACGCUGAGGCGCGAAAGCGUGGGGAGCAAACAGG
rnacentral:rRNA from 1 species